UUUAUUGGAGAGUUUGAUCCUGGCUCAGGAUGAACGCUGGCGGCGUGCCUAAUACAUGCAAGUCGAGCGAAUGGAUUGAGAGCUUGCUCUCAAGAAGUUAGCGGCGGACGGGUGAGUAACACGUGGGUAACCUGCCCAUAAGACUGGGAUAACUCCGGGAAACCGGGGCUAAUACCGGAUAAUAUUUUGAACUGCAUGGUUCGAAAUUGAAAGGCGGCUUCGGCUGUCACUUAUGGAUGGACCCGCGUCGCAUUAGCUAGUUGGUGAGGUAACGGCUCACCAAGGCAACGAUGCGUAGCCGACCUGAGAG
rnacentral:rRNA from 3 species